UACGUAGGGUGCAAGCGUUGUCCGGAAUUAUUGGGCGUAAAGAGCUCGUAGGCGGUUUGUCGCGUCUGGUGUGAAAACUCAAGGCUCAACCUUGAGCUUGCAUCGGGUACGGGCAGACUAGAGUGUGGUAGGGGUGACUGGAAUUCCUGGUGUAGCGGUGGAAUGCGCAGAUAUCAAGAGGAACACCGAUGGCGAAGGCAGGUCACUGGGCCACUACUGACGCUGAGGAGCGAAAGCAUGGGGAGCGAACAGG
rnacentral:rRNA from 1 species